AUUGAACGCUGGCGGCAUGCUUUACACAUGCAAGUCGAACGGUAACAGGCCUUCGGGUGCUGACGAGUGGCGAACGGGUGAGUAAUGCAUCGGAACGUACCCAGAGGUGGGGGAUAACGCAGCGAAAGCUGUGCUAAUACCGCAUGUGAUCUGAGGAUGAAAGCGGGGGACCGAGCAGCAAUGUUUGGCCUCGCGCCUUUGGAGCGGCCGAUGUCGGAUUAGCUAGUUGGUGGGGUAAAGGCCUACCAAGGCGACGAUCCGUAGCUGGUCUGAGAGGACGAACAGCCACACGGGGACUGAGACACGGCCCAGACUCCUACGGGAGGCAGCAGUGGGGAAUUUUGGACAAUGGGCGCAAGCCUGAUCCAGCAAUGCCGCGUGCGGGAAGAAGGCCUUCGGGUUGUAAACCGCUUUUGGCAGGAACGAAACGGUGUCCGCUAAUACCGGGCGCUAAUGACGGUACCUGCAGAAUAAGCACCGGCUAACUACGUG
rnacentral:rRNA from 1 species